rnacentral:rRNA from 1 species
AAAUUUGAGAGUUUGAUCCUGGCUCAGAAUGAACGCUGGCGGCAGGCUUAACACAUGCAAGUCGAACGGGGUUAUAUUGUAGCUUGCUAUGGUAUAACUUAGUGGCAGACGGGUGAGUAAUGUAUAGGAAUCUACCUAGUAGUACGGAAUAAUUGUUGGAAACGGCAACUAAUACCGUAUACGCCCUACGGGGGAAAGAUUUAUUGCUAUUAGAUGAGCCUAUAUUAGAUUAGCUAGUUGGUAAGGUAAUGGCUUACCAAGGCAAUGAUCUAUAGCUGAUCUGAGAGGAUGAUCAGCCACACUGGAACUGAGAUACGGUCCAGACUCCUACGGGAGGCAGCAGUG